AUGACCUUCAUCAUCAUCUUCAUCUGGACUCUCACAGCGUUUGCUCAAGAGUGUAGAGGACAGAUCACCGUCACUCAGAGUCCCUCAAUGACAGCAGCUCAACCAGGACAAACUGUGAACAUCAACUGUAAAACCAGCAGUAAUGUGUACAAAUAUAGUGAUGGGGAUGAAACUUUAUUCUGGUACUUACAGAAAUCUGGAGAAGCUCCUAAACUCCUGAUUUAUUAUGCAAAAAAACUCCAGUCAGGAACUCCAUCUAGAUUCAGUGGCAGUGGAUCUAACAGUGAUUUCACUCUGACCAUCAGUGGAGUCCAGACUGAAGAUGCUGGACAUUAUUACUGCCAGAGUUACCACAGUGGUCCAGUGUUCACACAGUGAUAAAGAGUCGUACAAAAACCUCCGUCAGUCAGAGUCACAGUGACUGAACUGAUACUGCAGCUGCUCAAAGGAGGAUCU